AGGCUGCCUCUUUAGAACACAGUCUCACUCCUAAGCUUUGUAAUAAAAAAACAAACUCAUCAGUCUGCAACUACUUCUAAGUGAAGUUGAGUACUAUUUUUUCAGUAUUCAACUUAAAAGAUCUCUGCAGCAGACUCACAUGUUUGUUUUAUAAUUGCCCGCUCAACUAUGAUAGUUUGUUUCCAGAUGGUGCCCUUCCUUCAACCUGCACACAGUCUCUCCUUGUUUGCAGGCGUUCAACCUCCUGCUGAUGCCACUACCCCCACCCCUAUUUAAGGCUACAGAGAGGAAAUCCUAAGGAGAUUUUCCCCCCCUAGUCUCCAGCAAAUUUUUGGUGACGUAAUAUGUGGGCUGAACUUGAGUCUCCUGAGAAAGAGAAGGAAUCACUAUUCGAGGGUACUGUAUAUACAAUCUGGGUCAGCUGCAGCUGGUUUUACUGCAUUUCUCCAUGUGGCAGACAGAGCAAAGCCACAAUGCUUUCUCUGCUGGAUUAAAGACAGCCCGCAGACCAGGAACUUCCACUCUACUACUUAAAAUUACAUAGGUGGCUUGUCAAAUUCAAUUGAUUAGUGCUGUAAGAAGAAAGAAGCUCCUUAUUACAGCUUGGAUUCAACGGUCCAAAACAAAAAUGCAGUUGCCAUUAAAGUCACAGACGAACAAACGUCUACACUGAUUUUUAAAAGCAAGAGUAAGAGCAGCAAGUUUCUGGGCUUGCUUUAUCAACAGAUGCAAAAAGAUAGCAUACAACCUCAUUUCAAAAUGAAGGCUUUUAUGUGGACCCUAAGUGUGCUAUUCUUCCUACUAAUGGGCAUUGGACAUGGCAGAGGAGGACAGUUCAAAAUUAAAAAAAUAACCCAGAGGAGAUACCCUCGCGCCACAGAUGGUAAAGAGGACGCAAAGAAAUGUUCAUACACAUUUCUGGUACCUGAACAAAAAAUAACAGGGCCAAUAUGUGUCAAUACCAAAGGGCAAGAUGCAGGUACCAUUAAAGACAUGAUCACCAGGAUGGAUCUUGAGAACCUAAAGGAUGUGCUCUCCAAGCAGAAGCGGGAGAUAGACGUCCUGCAGUUGGUGGUGGAUGUGGAUGGAAACAUUGUCAAUGAGGUAAAGCUGCUGAGGAAAGAAAGCCGUAACAUGAACUCCCGUGUCACUCAGCUCUAUAUGCAACUGCUGCAUGAGAUUAUCCGAAAGAGGGAUAAUUCACUUGAACUUUCCCAGUUGGAAAAUAAAAUCCUCAAUGUCACCACAGAAAUGUUGAAGAUGGCAACAAGGUACAGGGAACUGGAGGUGAAAUACGCUUCCUUGACUGAUCUGGUCAAUAACCAGUCUGUGAUGAUCACUUUGCUGGAAGAACAGUGCUUGAGGAUAUUUUCUCGACAGGACCCCCAUGUGUCUCCUCCUCUCGUCCAGGUCGUGCCACAGCACAUCCCUAACACUCAUCAGUACACUCCUGGUCUGCUGGGAGGCAAUGAGAUACAGAGGGAUCCAGGCUAUCCCAGAGAUUUAAUGCCGCCACCGGAUCUGGUAACUUCUCCCACCAAAAGCCCUCUCAAGAUACCACCGGUAACUUUCAUCAAUGAAGGACCAUACAAAGAUUGUCAGCAUGCAAAAGACGCUGGACAUUCAGUCAGUGGGAUUUAUAUGAUCAAACCUGAAAAGAGCAAUGGACCAAUGCAAUUAUGGUGUGAGAACAGUUUGGAUCCUGGGGGUUGGACUGUUAUUCAGAAAAGAACAGAUGGCUCUGUCAACUUCUUCAGAAACUGGGAAAAUUAUAAGAAAGGAUUUGGAAACAUUGAUGGAGAAUAUUGGCUUGGACUGGAAAAUAUCUAUUUGCUUAGCAAUCAAGAUAAUUAUAAGUUAUUGAUUGAAUUAGAAGACUGGAGUGACAAAAAAGUCUAUGCAGAAUAUAGCAGUUUCCGCCUGGAACCGGAAAGUGAAUUCUAUAGACUGCGUCUGGGGACUUACCAGGGGAAUGCUGGGGACUCCAUGAUGUGGCAUAAUGGUAAACAGUUCACCACUCUGGACAGAGAUAAAGAUAUGUAUGCAGGAAACUGCGCCCACUUCCAUAAAGGAGGAUGGUGGUACAAUGCCUGUGCACACUCUAAUCUCAAUGGAGUCUGGUACAGAGGAGGCCAUUACAGAAGCAAGUACCAAGAUGGGAUAUUUUGGGCCGAAUACCGAGGUGGCUCAUACUCCUUGAGAGCAGUUCAGAUGUUGAUCAAGCCUAUUGACUGAAGAGACGCAGUCUCCAAUUUAAAUGACACAGAACUCUAAUUUUCAGUUCUUAAAAAUGUAAAUGUUACAUGUGUAUUAUUUUGCACAAUUCAUUUCUACAGAUAUAGUUUUUUAAGUGAAUUUUUACCAUAACUAUAAAAGGGGAUUUAUGAAUAUAGUUUCAUCUUCCCUUAAUAUACUGUAGAAGAUUAUCUGCAUCUAUAAUCCAAGUUAUUUUAAAAAUAUUAUUGACUGAAUACAGGCAAAGUUUGUUUUCUAAAAUGUAAAUUAUUUGUCACAACGUAAAACAAAUUUUAGCUUUAUUUUAAAUCAAAAUUCAAUACAUGUCAAGAUCUUUAACAAUUUAUUUAAAGCCUUUAUGAGAAUGCUGUAACUUCCAAUGGAAAAAUAAUUUUAAGAUUUCAGCAACAUCAUAAUUUUAUUUAUAAAAAAUAUAGACAGGAAAUUAGAAAAAACUCUAGUUUUGCCAACAAUUUGCAUUGAAUAAAAGUUAUUUCAAAUUGAGUUUAUGCCUUUCACAUGAAAUGAUUAAACUUGAAUUCUUGACAAUAUAUUUUAUGUCAAUUUCAGAAUGAAGAAAUCCACAAGAUACAUAUUUUUUAAAAACAAAAAUAAUGUAUACAGUAUUUAAAUGGCCAAUUUAUAGAAACAGAAAUAGACAAAUUAAUUUUUCAAUGUUACCUUCAUAUGAUUUCAUAUGAAUACCAAAAUUUCCUAAAAUCUACUUUAUGUUUUUAUAUCAGUAAAACAUUGAUAUUACAAAUGUGCAGAAUAUUUGGUGAGUCAAUGGUUUUACAGAACUGAAUUACAACUCUAAGCUUAUUUAUUAAUACUUUUCCCUCCCUGAUUAACUGAUCUCAACUGUUUAGAAAAAGUUUAUCUGCUAGUCAAGUCAGAAAGUUUGGACAGCUUUACAAGCAUUACUGCAUACCGAUGGGUGGGACUAAAACAUCUUCAAUGAGCUGUUAGAUAUUUUUCCAAUACUGAGAUUCAACAGUUUCAGGAUGGAAUCCACAGGGGUUUCACUAGUCCAAAUGGCUAAUUCCAGUGUGUGUGUCUUUAGCUCAUCUUUGCAACUAACAACUUUACUACCAAUCUUCUAGAAUAAUUAUCUUCUAAAAAUAUGUUCUGCUUAGAGCAGAUCUUCCCUUAACUCAUUUGUGAACUAAAAAUUUUAGAGGAAUCUCUUGAGACUUUUGCUCAACCAGUCAGAACUGAAGAUAAUUAUCUGCACAACUUUAAUCCAUCAACAUCAAGUCCAGCGUUUCUGCUCUGCCACAUCUCAAAACUUCUGGUGAAAGAAGGUAAAGAAAACAAGGCUUAAAGAAGACAAUUCAAUGACUUGAAAAAUGAAUAUCAUAGAGCCAUUUUGGAAUUGCAGUUCCCAAUUCUCAGUCUGCAAUUUGGAAGACCUGGGUUCAAUCCCUAGGUCGGGAAGAUCCCCUGGAGAAGGGUACGGCGACCCACUCCAGUAUCCUUGCUUAGAGAACUUCACGAACAGAGCCUGGCAGGCUAUAGUUCAUGGGGUCACAAACAGUUGGACACAACUGAGUGACGUGAAUUCAAAAAAUUCUAAUGUUCUUUAUGCUAUGAAAAGUUUAUGUUUUUAUGGAGUAUGAAGAUAUUGAUGACACUUUUAAGAAUGUCAAAGCCAAGGUAAUGGUAGAAAGUAGAGCGUACACAGAAUGCCUUUCCUAAUAUCAGCUUAGAGCCUGAGUUAUGUUUACUAUGGCCCUGAACCAUUUAUCAAAGAAACAGACAAACGGUACGUGGCCACUGCACAAUGCACAGGAGUACUCUGCCUUCAACACAGGAUGUGCAACAUUUCCUAUUCCCACUGGACUCUGAGAAUGUCCCACAAUGAUAUGAUGAGUUGAGAUCUCUGACAAACCAAGGUGAUGCUCUAGAGCAGCUGAGUGACAAGUGUGUCAGCUGUCUCUGCCCUACUCUGCGUUCUGGUACUACACUGGUGCUUUGUGUUCAGUGGUACUAUAAAGACUUCAAAGAUGACACUGUAGAGUCUCCUAAACCAGGAACAGGUUUUUCCAUGAUUUUCAGAAACAGUCAUGGUAAAAUCCAGUAUGAGUAGUUACAUAAAAGACAGAGUGGAAAUAGAAGGUAAAAGGGGAGACCGGGAAAAAACAAAUGUUAUCUUUUGAUUACUCUCUACAAAGGAUCAAGUCAAUUUACUUUAAUGCAUAUACUAGGUAUACAUAAUAUAAUGCAUAUACUAGGUAUACAUAAUAUAAUGCAUAUACUAGGUAUACAUAAUAUAUUUUCUGUAUUUAAAUUCACAUAUACAUUAAAAAGGUAUAGUUUCAGUCAUUUUUUUAUUCAAACACCUAAUAAAAAAUUACUAUUCAUAUUUUGGUGAACAUCUUAUGUUAUUGGUUUAAUACUUCUUGGAAUUCAUCAACACUGUAAAAUAUACAAUAAAGAGAUACACACUAUGUGUAAUAAUAUGUAAAAUACAGAUUUUUCCCAGCACCGAGCUAAAUUUCCACAGCUAAACAGCUAAUUUCUUCCAGAAAAACAAUAACACCUUCAUUGAGACUGUUUUUCAUAAUUCACUGUUAAAAUACCUGCCAACAAUAUAAACUAAGAACUCAUGAUGUUGACAAUAAAUUCAUUGUAUCUUUUGAUCAAUUUCUUAAGUAAAUGUUAAAUAUUUUCACAGCAUUAAACUUCACUGCAAACUACUAGUCCAUUCUUUUAAAGCAUUACUAAAAUAGCAAAAAUGUAUGGCUUUACCAUAUGCUUCAUUUCUAAGAAAAAAUGAAAAUACAUUCCAGGUAGUAAGGUAACACAUUCCUCUAGACAAUUUUUUCAACUUAAGAAUCCUUUAAUUUCUUUAAAGGACACACAAACUUUUAAAAUACAUUGAACUUUUUAUAAACGAUUGAUUAAAGCAAAGCAACAACUAGGCAUAAUGAAUAUACAGUGACAUAACUCACCUAAAUAGGGAAUGCAGGGUGUCAUCUUUAAGCUACUUAUAUAGUCUCUGAGUCUUUUGUAAUUAUCUUCUUUACUCAUUACAUAUUCUAGUUUUUCAAAGGUAGUUUUGUCUUUCCGACUUAAUAACUAAAAGACAAACAGAAAAGCCCAAGUUAUUUCUGUAUCCAAUUUUAUUAAAGACUUAAAAGUUAGAAUUACUAUAAAUUUGAAUCUUAAUUUCAAAGUUUUAUUUUCUUUAAUUAUAUUUUGGUAGUAUAUAAAUAAAACAAAAUCAGACAUGUUUAUUAAUAUAAUAAACCCAUAUUCAUUAUUUAUAAAAUACAAUAUACUUUGUAUGUACCUAAAAUAAUUAACUUACUAAGUAGUAAAUUAUAAUACAUUAUUUCUCAUCCUUACUAUUUUAAAUGGUUAAACAAUUUUUAUUAGUCAUUUUCCUAAUUUAAAAUAAUUAUAUAUUCAUAUUCACCUCAAAGGCCCAAAUAUUUUCAUGACUUGUCCCCUGCCCCCUCAAAGAUAGUUAAUUCUUACAUAAGCAUUAGGCAAUAAAUACUGAAUUUCAUAAUUUAAGUAAUAAUUUUUCUUGAUGACUCUAACCAUACCUAGUUCUUCCAGUACUAUAAAACUACAAUUUACAUGUUUGGAUUUCUGACAUUUUUUUCUUUGAUCCCUUUGAUCAGUGCUGUAUUAUAUACAGUUGAACAAUCAACUGCAGCUGUUUUAGGAGGCUUGAGGAGUAGAUCUGUAGUGCGUGCCCUUUGAGAAAAAUGGAGAUAUCAAGGGGAAUAAAAGAAAAGCAAGGACAGUCAUCCGAAAUAAUAUUAACUAAAAGAUUCAGAAAAUACAUGUUUUUAAGUAUUUCAAAGACUUUGGAAAAAAAAUCUCUUCUUUAAAUAUGUGAAGUUACUAUUUCAUUAUGUUGUAAAUCAGAUUUCACUUUAUGUCAUAAAAUAUUUGUUAUUUUAUAGCAGGCAAAACACUUCCACCUAUAAAAUUCUCAUCUAAUUCUCCUACGAGGUUAAGAGAAAAGUCAAGAGGACUAAUUUAAAGAUGAGGUGACUGAGACCCCAAGGAGAAGCAGAACACACCAACACUCAUCAGUCAUCACUCACAAAGACUAGGUCCUGCUUUUAUGGGUCUCAGUCUGGUCCCGGAGACAGAGUAUUCUAACAUCUAACCCACUACUCUUUUUAAUAUUACAAGUAAUAUAGUUGGGAUUGAUGCUGUAAUCUAUUUUUCACAGGCUCCAAGAUAACAGAUUAUCUUCAGAUAAUCUCUAAAACAAAAACAAAAACAAAAAAACUGUCUAACCAGUAUCUCUGAAUGUUUUAGAUAGGUUUUCCUGCAAACACUGGUUUCACGACUUUGUGUGGCCCAGUUUCAACACACUUGAUUAGAACUUUCAAGAUUAGGUGCAACUCUCCACUUCGAUCUAUAAAUCCAAACAUUCUUUUCUCUCCCACAUAACAAAGUAUUUGAAUAUGCAAAAUAUACUGCAUGACACAGCAAGGAUAACAAGAAAUCUUUUUUUUUUUUUUCCAAAGUCAGUCAUUCCAGAACUCUGGUACAAUAUCUGGAGAAACAAAUUACAUGCAACUCAUAGCUGAUUUUGACAUAUCUGAAACACAAAACUAAAGAAGCAUGGAGUCUGAUAUGUAUAAAAAUAACACAUUUUGCAAUUUUCAUAACAAAUCAAUAGUCAGAAUGAAAGGAUUCAAUUUGGGGUGGGAUAGCAGAGACUUGUUUUCAGAGGACUAUUUUUAAAAGCUGUGGUAAAAUAUACAUAAUAUUUACCAUUUUAACCAGUGUUAAGUGUAUAGUUUAGUGGCA